rnacentral:tRNA from 1 species
GCCGGGGUGGCGUAAUUGGCAGACGCGCUGGAUUUAAGACCCAGUGUUCGUAAGAACGUGCGGGUUCAAGUCCCGCCCCCGGCA